GAUGAACGCUAGCGGCAGGCCUAAUACAUGCAAGUCUAGGGGGCAGCAAUGUCACCGGCAGACGGGUGCGUAACGCGUAUGCAACCUUCCCCCACCAGGGGUAUAGCCUGUGGAAACACGGAUUAAUCCCCAUAACGCAGGGUGGCCCGCAUGGGUCUAUUUGCUAAAGGGUUUCCGGGUGGGGAUGGGCAUGCGUCCCAAAAAUUGCUAGUUGGCGGGGUAACGGCCCACCAAGGCUACGAUGGGUAGGGGCCCUGAGAGGGGGGUCCCCCACACUGGCACUGAGAUACGGGCCAGACUCCUACGGGAGGCAGCAGUAGGGAAUAUUGGACAAUGGGUGUAAGCCUGAUCCAGCCAUGCCGCGUGCAGGAAGGAGGCCUUCUGGGGUUUGUAAAACUGCUUUUGCCGGGGAUAAAAGAUCCAUGCGUGGAGAAUUGAAGGUACCCGGUGAAUAAGCCACGGCUAACUACGUGCCAGCAGCCGCGGUAAU
rnacentral:rRNA from 1 species